rnacentral:rRNA from 1 species
CGAGUGAAGCGGCAAAAGCUCAAAUUUGAAAUCUGGCACCUUCGGUGUCCGAGUUGUAAUUUGAAGAAGGUAACUUUGGAGUUGGCUCUUGUCUAUGUUCCUUGGAACAGGACGUCACAGAGGGUGAGAAUCCCGUGCGAUGAGAUGCCCAAUUCUAUGUAAAGUGCUUUCGAAGAGUCGAGUUGUUUGGGAAUGCAGCUCUAAGUGGGUGGUAAAUUCCAUCUAAAGCUAAAUAUUGGCGAGAGACCGAUAGCGAACAAGUACAGUGAUGGAAAGAUGAAAAGAACUUUGAAAAGAGAGUGAAAAAGUACGUGAAAUUGUUGAAAGGGAAGGGCUUGAGAUCAGACUUGGUAUUUUGCGAUCCUUUCCUUCUUGGUUGGGUUCCUCGCAGCUUACUGGGCCAGCAUCGGUUUGGAUGGUAGGAUAAUGACUAAGGAAUGUGGCUCUACUUCGGUGGAGUGUUAUAGCCUUGGUUGAUACUGCCUGUCUAGACCGAGGACUGCGUCUUUGACUAGGAUGCUGGCAUAAUGAUCUUAAGCCACCCGUCUUGA